rnacentral:lncRNA from 1 species
GUUGGAUUUUCCAUUCAGCUCACCAAGGAGGCUGGGCUUCUCCAGAGUGUGGCCCUGUCCCUUCCUGUGGGACUGUCCUCUCUAGUCCCUGCUGGGCCCUGCUCUCUGCUUAGCAAGGGCAUCGAUGGCUUCAUAAGCACCGAACAUCAUCUGCUUUCUGCUCUUCAUUACCAAUACAGAAAAACAAACCUAAGGAGAGUCUUCCUAGUGCAAGAAAGAACGGAACAUAGCAAGUUCCCAGGGCCACACCAACCCCACACAGCAGACACAACGCGAGAGGUGACUCCACCCGGGAACCCUGUGUGGCAUGAACGUGAGUCCUCAUCCUCACGGUUGUCCCGGGCAAGCCCUGAAGUGCAGAGCAUAGGGGAGCACAGGCUAAAUGUGUGGAAUGGAGCCGGAUUAGAAGAGGAGACGCUCCUGCUAAUUCUGGACUUGCUUCCAACGCGUGCCAGCUCCCUGCUGUUGAACCUCGGCCCCGCCAGUCUUCCCCUCUGAACGUGUUUCUUCUUCUGUGAAAUAGGAGUAAUCAUGUGCUCUUCUUACCUCAUACAUCAUUGCAAGGAUUAAACUAGAUGGCACGUGUGAAAAUGCUUGUACACUCCGAAGAACCACGUGAGGCAUCGUAAGCGCUGUGAGGAUUGCUACUAUUUUGAGCCCACAGUGGGAGACUGGACCUGGGAGAAAUGGCAGAUGGCCCGGGGUUGUGGGGCAGGAGGCUGACUUGUUUGCUUAUCAGUGGAAAACACACUCUGACUCAUAUCAGAAAAGAAGCCUGGCAAACAUUAAAAAAGAAAAAAUUUGGAGAAAGCCAAUGAGCCCACAGUUGGAAUUUUGGACUGGGGUUUAGAAACAUGAGUACAGGAGGCUGACAACAUUGGAUGGAGUCCAG